UGGCCUAGAAAGUAAAAAAGUUAGGCCACCAACUUUUUUUCGGCUAAAAA
rnacentral:sRNA from 1 species